AUUGCAGAAUCCCGUGAACCAUCGAGUCUUUGAACGCAAGUUGCGCCCGAAGCCAUUAGGCCGAGGGCACGUCUGCCUGGGCGUCACGCACUGCGUCGCCCCUCGCCCUCCRCGCCUCGCGGCGCGGCKGGUUGGGGGCGGAUACUGGCCCCCCGUGAACGGCAGCUCGCGGUCGGCCCAAAAGCGAGCCCCCUCCCCCGAGACGGACGUCACGACGAUUGGUGGUUGAGAARCCCCGUGCCUUUGUCGCGUCGAGUCGUGCGCGUGCCCCGUCCGCUGGAGGAAGCUCAUGUGACCCCUCGACGCUGCUCCGACCGCGACCCCAGGUCAGGCGGGACUACCCGCUGAGUUUAAGCAUAUCAAUAAGCGGAGGAAAAGAAACUUACGAGGAUUCCCCUAGUAACGGCGAGCGAACCGGGAAGAGCCCA
rnacentral:rRNA from 1 species